rnacentral:rRNA from 1 species
GUGGGGAAUUUUGGACAAUGGGCGCAAGCCUGAUCCAGCAAUGCCGCGUGCAGGAAGAAGGCCUUCGGGUUGUAAACUGCUUUUGUACGGAACGAAACGGCUCUGGUUAAUACCCGGGGCUAAUGACGGUACCGUAAGAAUAAGCACCGGCUAACUACGUGCCAGCAGCCGCGGUAAUACGUAGGGUGCAAGCGUUAAUCGGAAUUACUGGGCGUAAAGCGUGCGCAGGCGGUGUGGUAAGACAGGCGUGAAAUCCCCGGGCUCAACCUGGGAAUUGCGCUUGUGACUGCAAGGCUGGAGUGCGGCAGAGGGGGAUGGAAUUCCGCGUGUAGCAGUGAAAUGCGUAGAUAUGCGGAGGAACACCGAUGGCGAAGGCAAUCCCCUGGGCCUGCACUGACGCUCAUGCACGAAAGCGUGGGGAGCAAACAGGAUUAGAAACCCCAGUAGUCC